ACGGUAACAGGCCUUCGGGUGCUGACGAGUGGCGAACGGGUGAGUAAUGCAUCGGAACGUGCCCAGUAGUGGGGGAUAGCCCGGCGAAAGCCGGAUUAAUACCGCAUACGACCUACGGGUGAAAGGGGGGGAUCGCAAGACCUCUCGCUAUUGGAGCGGCCGAUGUCAGAUUAGGUAGUUGGUGGGGUAAAGGCCUACCAAGCCUGCGAUCUGUAGCUGGUCUGAGAGGACGACCAGCCACACUGGGACUGAGACACGGCCCAGACUCCUACGGGAGGCAGCAGUGGGGAAUUUUGGACAAUGGGCGCAAGCCUGAUCCAGCCAUGCCGCGUGCGGGAAGAAGGCCUUCGGGUUGUAAACCGCUUUUGUCAGGGAAGAAAUCUUCUGGGCUAAUACCUCGGGAGGAUGACGGUACCUGAAGAAUAAGCACCGGCUAACUACGUGCCAGCAGCCGCGGUAAUACGUAGGGUGCAAGCGUUAAUCGGAAUUACUGGGCGUAAAGCGUGCGCAGGCGGUUGUGCAAGACAGGUGUGAAAUCCCCGGGCUUAACCUGGGAACUGCACUUGUGACUGCACAGCUGGAGUGCGGCAGAGGGGGAUGGAAUUCCGCGUGUAGCAGUGAAAUGCGUAGAUAUGCGGAGGAACACCG
rnacentral:rRNA from 1 species